AGUGGAUGGGGAGCAACCUAGUUGUGCGUGUGUAAAGGUAGUGCCAAGAAAAGCGAUGAUCAUGUUGAAAAUCAAUUCCCGGUACCCGAAACCGACACAGGUGGGCAAGUAGAGAAUACUAAGGGGCGCGAGGUAACUCUCUCCAAGGAACUCGGCAAAAUGACCCCGUAACUUAGGGAGAAGGGGUGCCACCGAGAGGUGGUCGCAGUGAAGAGGCCCAGGCGACUGUUUAGCAAAAACAUAGGUCUCUGCAAACUCGAAAGAGGAGGUAUAGGGGCUGACGCCUGCCCAGUGCCGGAAGGUUAAAGAAGUUGGUCAGUCUUAGGAUGAAGCUAGCGACUGAAGCCCCGGUGAACGGCGGCCGUAACUAUAACGGUCCUAAGGUAGCGAAAUUCCUUGUCGGGUAAGUUCCGACCCGCACGAAAGGCGUAACGAUCUGGGCGCUGUCUCGGAGAGAGGCUCGGCGAAAUAGGAUUGUCUGUGAAGAUACGGACUACCUGCAUUUGGACAGAAAGACCCUAUGAAGCUUUACUAUAGCUUGGAAUUGUGUUCGGGCUUCCUGUGCGCAGGAUAGGUGGGAGGCGUAGAAGGUAUUCUUGUGGGGAUACUGGAGCCAACGGUGAGAUACCACUCUCAGGAGGCUAGAAUUCUAACUUAAUUAAGGACAGUUUCAGGUGGGUAGUUUGACUGGGGCGGUCGCCUCCAAAAAGGUAACGGAGGCGUACAAAGGUUCCCUCAGACUGGUUGGAAAUCAGUCGAAGAGUGCAAAGGCAGAAGGGAGCUUGACUGCGAGAAGUACAGUUCGAGCAGGGUGGAAACACGGUCUUAGUGAUCCGACGGUGCUGUGUGGAAGGGCCGUCGCUCAACGGAUAAAAGUUACUCUAGGAUAACAGGCUGAUCUCCCCCAAGAGUUCACAUCGACGGGGAGGUUUGGCACCUCGAUGUCGGCUCAUCGCAACCUGGGGCGGAAGUACGUCCCAAGGGUUGGGCUGUUCGCCCAUUAAAGCGGUACGUGAGCUGGGUUCAGAACGUCGUGAGACAGUUCGGUCCAUAUCCGAUGUAGGCGUGAGAAUAUUGAGAGGAGCCUUCCUUAGUACGAGAGGACCGGGAAGGACGCACCGCUGGUGUACCUGUUAUGAUGCCAAUUGUAAACGCAGGGUAGCCAAGUGCGGAGAGGAUAACCGCUGAAAGCAUCUAAGUGGGAAGCCCACCUCAAGAUGAGUAUUCUGGUGUAAGGUCACGGGAAGACGACCCGUAAAUAGGCACGAGGUGGAAGUGCAGAGAUGUAUGAAGCCGAAGUGUACUAAUAGACCGUCGGCUUGAUA
rnacentral:rRNA from 1 species